UUGCUGGUGUGGCCUUUCCUUUUGCAUGUAAAGCAUCUAAAGCAAUCCUUCUUUAGAUGGCCAACUUUUCCACAUUGAAACAGCUUGGUCCUUGUUUCUCGUAUUCACGUUUGCUUGGCUGCUUCUGCUGUUCCUUUUUAUAAUUGUUACCUUUUGUUACCAGCGCCACUGAUGUUUCCUGGUCGUCUUUCUUCCAUCUGAUUUCUUCCGCCAUCAGCCUGGUACUAAGCCUGUCUAAGGUCUUCUUUUCUUCUUCCACCGAAUCCCACGCACUGUAAAAAUGGUCAAAUUUGUUCGGUAACACCGAUAAAAUGCGUGUUAUCAGCAUUUUCUCGUCAAUUUCACUCCCAAG
rnacentral:misc_RNA from 1 species